rnacentral:tRNA from 1 species
GAAACCUAUGAGAAUCUUCUAGGCCUGCUAAGCCCAAGAAGCUGUGGUUUAACUCCAUGGAGGUCUCG